rnacentral:lncRNA from 1 species
UUUUAGUAGAGAUGGGAUUUCACCAUGCUGGCCAGAAUGGUCUUGAUCUCUUGACUUUAUGAUCCCCCACCUCGGCCUCCCAGAGUGCUAAGAUUACAGGCAUAAGCCACCGCGCCCAGCCCAGAGUUUUGGCUUUCCAGUAGUUUGUCUUGUUUCUUUACAUGACAUUUGUCCUUAGCAGCAAAAAUAAGAGUGGCUUUUCUCCAGGAAUCCCAUUCCCUUCUUUAGACCCCCUGACCGUCUCAUCCUGCUCACCUCAAACACAGUUGUGGUCUGUACCCUGAGUUCCUGAGAAGAUGCUCUGCAGCUUUGAUCUUCUGCCUAAAAUCUCACAAUUGUUUAAGAGUCAGUGUUUUCCUGUGGUAGUGUAGUUCUAUGCAGUCUGUUGUUCCAUCCCUGAUGUCUUCUAUUCUUUGCAGCAGGAAUAGCUUCCAGAAUAAACUGACAAACAGCCAGGUAAUAAUUCCAACCUCCAGGGAACCUGGCAGACCCCCAGCAGCACCUUGAAAGAGCAUGUCAACAUCCUUCCUGAAGGCACGGAGCUUUCCACAGGGAGGGACUUUGGCAUUUGUCUCUAGGCUGGUUCAGAGGCACCUCCUUCCUUAGUUCACAGGCUGUCACACAGCCUCUGCCAGUGCCUGCAAAAGCCUCUGCAUGGCACUUUCACUGUGAGACCUACUUCUCCAUUCUCUGGGGUCCUUUUAUCCACCCUACACAGGACUCACAAGAACAAUUUUUUUUAGUUCUUCUAUGUUCAAAAAUAUAUGUUACCUUUAAAAUUAAAAGGCAAUGUAAUUGGAUAUAAAAAAUCCUUGGGCACAUUUUCCUUGAAAAUGUUAUACAAAUUGGUUUCUUAUCUUCUAGCAUUGACUAUUGUUUUGGAAAUGUUUGAAACAACCCUGAUUUCCCCACCCCACUUACAAGAGUGACUUGAUCUUUUUUCUAGCUUGCCCGGAAGAUCCUUUCUUUAUCAAAGAGCUCCAGGAAGUUGAUACUUCUUAUCUUUCCUCAAUUUCCUAAGAACUGGGGUUUGCGUUUCUGUUCUCCUCCAUUGGGUGACUUCUGAGAGAAGCAGAAAGUUUACUUGGUUCUGUCUUCUCCAGACCUCAUCACCAAGACAGCAGUCUGUUUCACACCCUUGAUUUGCAUGCCAAGAAAGAGGGUGCAGACUAGUGGGCCAGUUGAGGUGGCUCACACGUGUAAUCUCAGCACAUUCGGAGGCCAGGCAGGAGAAUAGCUUGAGCCCAGGAGUUUGAGACCAGCCUGAGUAAUAUAGGGAGACCUAGUCUCUAAGAAAAUAAAAUAUAGGCCUGGUGCGGU